UACGAGGGGUGCAAGCGUUGCUCGGCAUUAUUGGGCGUAAAGGGUAGGUAGGCGGUCUCGUUUGUCAGGGGUGAAAGCCUGGGGCUUAACCCCAGAAGUGCCCCUGAAACGGCGAGACUCGAGUUCUGGAGAGGGUCGUGGAAUUCCCGGUGUAGCGGUGAAAUGCGUAGAGAUCGGGAGGAACACCAGAGGCGAAGGCGGCGACCUGGACAGAUACUGACACUCAACUACGAAAGCGUGGGGAGCAAACAGG
rnacentral:rRNA from 1 species